rnacentral:rRNA from 1 species
UACGUAGGUGACAAGCGUUGUCCGGAUUUACGUGGGACGUAAAGGGUGCGUAGGCGGCCGGGUAAGUCUGAUGUCGAAAUCCCGCAGCUUAACUGCGGAACUGCAUCGGAUACUCUCCGGCUAGAGGAAUGGAGGGGAGACUGGAAUUCUCGGUGUAGCAGUGAAAUGCGUAGAUAUCGAGAGGAACACCAGUGGCGAAGGCGAGUCUCUGGACAUUUCCUAACGCUGAGGCACGAAAGCCAGGGGAGCAAACGGG